rnacentral:lncRNA from 1 species
AGUGCUAGGUAUCUCCUAUCUUCCUAAAUCCCCUGAAGUAAAUAGUAUCCCACUUUACAGAUGACGAAACUGAGCAUUUUGUGUUUUAGUAACUUCCCAUAGCCAGUGAGGUGUCAGGUUUCAAACCAUUCACUCCAUUCGUUCAUACUCUGCGGCUUAUUUCCCAUGCCAUUUUCUGGCGUCUGGCCCGGGUUAAUCAUUUCCAUACCUGCUUGUGUUAGUCUCCUAGGGUUGCCAUAACAAAGUACUACAAACUGGGUAGCUUAAAACAACAGAAGGACUCCCACAAUUCUGGAAGCUAGAAGUCUAAAAGUCAGGUGUUGGCAGAGGCACUUUCCCUCUGAAGGUUCUGGGGAAGAAUCUUUCUUUACCUCUCCCUGGCUUCUGAUGGUUGUCAGCAAUCUUUGGCAUUCCCUGGCAGGCAGCUUCAUCACUCCUCCAAUUUCUGCUCCAUCACCACAUGAUCUUCUUUCUUUUGUGCCUUUGUCUUUACAUGGCCUUUUUUGUCGUUGUUUUUUGAGGCAGAGUCUUGCUCCGUUGCCCAGGCAGCAGUGCAGUGGCAUGAUCUUGGCUCACUGCAUCCUCUGCCUCCUGGGUUCUACCAAUUCUCAUGCCACAGCCUCCUGAGUAGCUGGGAUUACAGGUGUGUGUACAUGGCCAUGUUAUAAGGACACUAGUCAUUGGAUUGAGGGCCUUUCUAAUCCACCAUGACCUCAUCUUAAUUAAUUAUAUCUACAAAGAUACUUUUUUUAAAAAAAAAGGUAAGAUGUCUAUGAGGUCACAUUCUGAGGUUCUGCGGGGAUAUGAAUUUGGGGGGGCACUGUUCAGCCCAGCACACUUUCUGGUCAUAACUCUGACCUUUCACCUUCUGUGUGAUGUAAUCUUUCGCACUUUUCCACUCCUGUGGUGCAUCCCUGUGUGGUCACAAGGAAGUUGAUACCAGUGUCUUGGUGGAUUUGAGUAAGGGACCGUCUACUAUGCUAAGGCAUUGGUAAUGGAAAGGUAGCCUUAAAACUCUGACUUUUCUGUCCAUUCUACACCAGACUGUAUGACUGGCUACACCUCAGAACUUAUCUUGAACGUGAUACGUUUUGUCUAUAUUGAUACAUCUUCAUGUAGAGAAUAACCUUAGUUUCUUUAUUUCUUAGAAAAUCUCUCUACCUCUGUAUUAUCAUUUGAACUCCAGUUCCAUUGCUUCCUUUACAUUUCUAUAGACAUUUUGUUAAUUCUUGUUCAUCGUUAAUUAGAAUUUGCUAAUUAUGAAGAGAAUAACCAAGACAGAGUGGUCAGAUGUUCAGGUGAAUUUGGCCUUCUAGGGUGUGUGGCUGGUGCAUUCUUUUAUUUUCCAGUCUUUAAAAUGUGAUUAUUUGUUUCUCAGAUAAGUUUGAUUAUGCAAACUGUGAUAAGUAAAAAAAAUACCCCAUUACUUCAUAUAGUUCUGACAACUUAUGCUGUAACACAUUUAAAUGAGUAAUUUUGUUUUGAAAUAGGUUGGCCUUGGGGAGGCACUAUUAGAGGCUGAAACUAUUGAAGAACAAGAAUCUCCAGUGAACUGCUUUAGAAAAUUAUUUGUUUGUGAUGUCCUUCCUCUAAUAAUUAACAACCAUGAUGUUCGAUUACCUGCCAAUUUAUUGUAUAAGUACUUGAACAAAGCAGCUGAAUUUUAUAUCAAUUAUGUCACUAGGUCUACUCAAAUAGAAAAUCAGCAUCAAGGCGCCCAGGAUACAUCUGAUUUAAUGUCACCUAGCAAACGUAGCUCUCAGAAGUACAUAAUAGAAGGGCUGACGGAAAAAUCAUCCCAGAUCGUGGACCCUUGGGAGAGGUUGUUUAAGAUUUUGAAUGUUGUUGGAAUGAGAUGUGAAUGGCAGAUGGAUAAAGGAAGACGGUAAUAAAUAGCUUAUUUCCAGAAUUGCCUAUUGAUUCUUUUGGAUCCUUAUAAAAACAAAAUCAUGCUUUUUAAAUCUGUGUAAUGCGUAGGUAUAGUUUUUGGGCAAAUUUUGUGACACUCAAUGCAAAAGAGGAUGGUUUUUCAUUUUAUCAAAACAUUUCUGACUGGGCACAAUGGCUCACAUCUGUAAUCCCAGUGCUUUGGGAGGCUGAGGUGGGCAGAUCACUUGAGGUCAGGAGUUCGAGACCAGCCUAGCCAACAUGGUGAAACCCCAUCUCUACUAAAAAUACAAAAAUUAGCCAGGCGAGGUGAUGCGUGCCUGUAGUCCCAGCUACUCGGGAGGCUGAGGUGAGAAAAUCACUUGAACCCAGGACGUGGAGGCUACGAUGAGCCAAGAUCACACCACUGCAAUCCAGCCUGGGUGACAGAGUGAGACCCUGUCUCU